rnacentral:rRNA from 1 species
UACAGAGGGUGCGAGCGUUAAUCGGAAUUACUGGGCGUAAAGCGCGCGUAGGCGGCUUUGCAAGUCGGGUGUGAAAUCCCCAGGCUUAACCUGGGAACUGCAUUCGAGACUGCAUCGCUAGAGUAUCGGAGAGGGAAGUGGAAUUUCAGGUGUAGCGGUGAAAUGCGUAGAUAUCUGAAGGAACAUCAGUGGCGAAAGCGACUUCCUGGACGAAUACUGACGCUCAUGUGCGAAAGCGUGGGGAGCAAACAGG